CGUUCGAUAGCUCAGUUGGCAGAGCGGGGGAUUGUAGUUAUUGACAGCAAUUAUCCCUAGGUCACUGGUUCGAAUCCGGUUCGAAGGA
rnacentral:tRNA from 1 species